UACGUAGGGACCAAGCGUUGUUCGGAUUUACUGGGCGUAAAGGGCGCGUAGGCGGCAUGACAAGUCACUUGUGAAAUCUCCGGGCUUAACUCGGAACGGCCAAGUGAAACUGUCAAGCUAGAGUGCGGAAGGGGCAAUCGGAAUUCUUGGUGUAGCGGUGAAAUGCGUAGAUAUCAAGAGGAACACCUGAGGUGAAGACGGGUUGCUGGGCCGACACUGACGCUGAGUGAGCGAAAGCCAGGGGAGCAAACGGGAUUAGAUCCCAGUAGUCCAACGA
rnacentral:rRNA from 1 species